rnacentral:rRNA from 1 species
UACAGAGGGGGCAAGCGUUGUUCGGAAUUACUGGGCGUAAAGGGCGCGUAGGCGGCCUUCUAAGUCGAACGUGAAAUCCCCGGGCUCAACCCGGGAACUGCGUCCGAUACUGGAAGGCUUGAAUUCGGGAGAGGGAUGCGGAAUUCCAGGUGUAGCGGUGAAAUGCGUAGAUAUCUGGAGGAACACCGGUGGCGAAGGCGGCAUCCUGGACCGGCAUUGACGCUGAGGCGCGAAAGCUAGGGGAGCGAAUGGG